AUUGAACGCUGGCGGAAUGCUUUACACGUGCAAGUCGAACGAGAAAGGAGCUUCGGCCCUGAGUAAAGUGGCGCACGGGUGAGUAACACGUGGGUAACCUGCCUCUAAGACUGGGAUAACUCGUCGAAAGAUGAGGUAAUACCGGAUAAGACCACAGCUCCUGCGGGGACAGGGGCCAAAGGUAGCCUAUGCUUGCAAGCUAUCACUUAGAGAUGGGCCUGCGUACCAUUAGCUAGUUGGUAGGGUAAUGGCCUACCAAGGCAAAGAGGGUUAGCUGGUCUGAGAGGAUGAGCAGCCACACUGGGACUGGGACACGGUCCAGACUCCUACGGGAGGCAGCAGUGGGGAAUAUUGCGCAAUGGGCGAAAGCCUGACGCAGCAACGCCGCGUGAGUGAUGAAGGCCUUCGGGUCGUAAAGCUCUGUCGGAGGGAACGAAUGCUCCCGAGGUUAACAGCCUCGGGAAGUGACGGUACCCUCAAAGGAAGCACCGGCUAACUCUGUGCCAGCCGCCGCCGUAA
rnacentral:rRNA from 1 species